rnacentral:rRNA from 1 species
CGCCGAGUUUAAGCAUAUCAAUAAGCGGAGGAG